rnacentral:piRNA from 1 species
UUGAUACCUGGGCAGCUGGUGAUCGUUGGU